GACGAACGCUGGCGGCGUGCUUAACACAUGCAAGUCGAGCGGUAAGGCCCUUCGGGUACGACGAGCGGCGAACGGGUGAGUAACACGUGGGUGACCUGCCUCUAGCUCUGGGAUAAGCCUGGGAAACUGGGUCUAAUACCGGAUAUGACUCCACGGCGCAUGUUGUGGGGUGGAAAGCCUUGUGUGGCUAGAGAUGGGCCCGCGGCCUAUCAGCUUGUUGGUGGGGUGAUGGCCACCAAGGCGACGACGGUAGCCGGCCUGAGAGGGCGACCGGCCACACUGGGACUGAGACACGGCCCAGACUCCUACGGGAGGCAGCAGUGGGGAAUCUUGCGCAAUGGGCGAAAGCCUGACGCAGCGACGCCGCGUGAGGGAUGACGGCCUGGUGU
rnacentral:rRNA from 1 species